AGUGAAUCUGAGAAACCUCCCCUCUCUAGCGUGAGCAAACGAUGACUCUUCACUUUCUCUGGAACACAUGUUAAGCUGAAACCAUGAUCAAGCAGGGGUUAAUUAUAAGGUACCGCGAGAACCUUCGAGAGAUGAGAGGCGUUCUUCUCCCUCCCAAGAGUCUGCCAAGUCUUUGGUCUGUCUUUCCUGAAGGUACUGUUGGUGACUUCUGUUUAAGGACAAAAACCCAGAAUUUUCCAGGCCUUGGACCCAGAACUGGCCAAGAUUCCCUGCCCUGGGGUGGCCAGAAGUAGCCCAGACUCCAGCACCAUGCAAGCCUGACCCAAGCUGAAUGCUGGUGACCAGUAAAUACCUAAGUUCCAAGGUGCUUCCUUGGAUGUACUGAAUUAAUGAGACCUCCGGGGUACUCCCUGAAGUGACUGAGAUAUGCUUUCCUCUAGGCUGACCAGAGAGCUGGAGCAGAUUAAAUUUGACUUACAGGGAUGGGGGGAGGGGGGAAGAGUGACGUUUCUUGCUCCUUAGUAUUCUGGACUGAAGUUGAUGCUCACAACACUACCCCCCUCCCCCGUUGGGGUGUGUUUAUCAUUACAGACAAACAUAUACACAUUUGCAAAAACACUGCAGAGGAUUUGGGGGAGGGUGCCGCAAGGUGUGCUAUAUUUUUCUUUUAAUUUAAAUACUUAUAUUAAAGCAAGC